rnacentral:piRNA from 1 species
CGGGCUGUCAUAGAACUUAUCAUCCUGUG